UCCGUCGCCGCCGUCGGGCAAGCGGUCGCCGCCGCCGCCAUCCGGCCCCUGGGGCGGCGGCUGCGGCUCCACGUCCUCAUCGUCGUUGGAGAAAAUGUAGGAGACCCCGAUGCGAGGCCCGUCGUCACGGUCCACGCCAGUCGGGUCGGCCGUGGGAACUUCCUUAUAACUUAGGUGGGUCAGUUUCUCCACCUGGUUGCCCAUCACGCUGCGGAUACACGUUCACACAGCCGAGAGGGGAGAAAGCGAAACCACCACUAGGGUCAUUGGCACGGGUCCCCGGACAGGGGCUGAGGCCACCUGUUGGAAGAGGAAAGCAAAGAAGCCAUGUAGGACCCUCCGUGAAAGGGACGAUUUCUUAAGAGAAGGAAGAAUGGCUGGGGGCCCAGCAGCUGGAGCCAUUUUACGGGGAGGCUCGGUUGCGGCGAGCCUUCCCUCAUUUCUCCACCUCUAGGGUCACGGUCACAGGAGGCCGGGCAACUCUAGCUCUACCCCGCCCCCAGCACUUCACCUCGCCCGGGCAAAAGCCCAUUGCAUCAGCAGCUCCAACAGCUUCCGCCGGCGCCCUACCUGCCGAGCCCUAGCAGGAGAGAGUAAAGACGAGAAACUUUACUCCAAUCCCCCUUUUUUCUUCAUCCUCCUUUCACCCCUGGGCCCUAACUUAGCCCCUGAGACGCCCCCCAGGCCUCCAUCCUCGGGGAAACCGGCGAGGAUCCCGCAGAUCGGCUGGGGCAGGUGAACCACCCUACCUGGCUCACCUGCGGCGCUCUCUCCACCCGUCUCGCCCGCCCCUCCCCCGCGCGCCUGCCCUAGGGCUUCGGGUUACCUGCGAAAACUCACCCGCAGAGAGGUGGAGGCCUUGGGGAGUUUACCCCUCCCUCCCCCCCAACCGCACCUUGAGACUUCUAGGGGACUGCUGUUCCCCCUCAACCUGCUCUCGGGGGUAGGUGGGACGCGAGAAGGCGGAGAAGGAAGCAGCCAGGCUGCCCGGCGGCAGCAGCUCCGGCUCGGACCCGGCGAGCAACAAGCGCCGGAGCGGGAGGGACGGGAUUGUAGAUCCGGCUCCGGGCUCCCCGGGCGGGAGCGCAGCCCCUGGCAUUUAAAGAGACAGAAGCUUGCUCCCGGAGCCCAGGUCUUUCCCACACGGCGCAGAGCCUCCGGGAUCCCCGCCCCCGCCCCGCCCACCCGGGCCGCGAGGCUCCGCCCAGACCACGCCCCCACGUCGGAGCGGGUUUAAAUCCAACUGGGCAGGUUCUAUCAGGAGUCUAAUACUUUAUAGCUGAGGAAAGUGCACCAUCUAAAGGGACCCGUUCCUAUCACAGAGCUGGCAAAGCAGCCAACCAACAGAAUAUGGACCAAGACAGGUCUGAAUACAAGUCUCACUGGACCGGGAACCCCGGUGCUCCAACCACUAUUUGCCCCACUGAUGUGACAACAACAGAAAGGAGCUUCUUGGUAACAGUUGGUGGACCUACUCCCAUUCCACUUUAGAGUGCCGAUGGGGUUUUGGGGUGAUGGGGGUCCGGACCUGAUGGCCAAGAAAGAAUUCUUGAGACAUCUUUGGUGCAAAAAAGAUGAAAACCAGCAUGUCCACUGGUGAGGCUAACGUUCCUGUGAGCUGGGGCCAGGAAAAGGCAGCAGACAAAGGGAACAGUCAGCCAGGUAGAGUUUGCUGGAGAUUUACGUGGAAACCUCCUCACAGAGGCAGUGCUGCUGGAUUUAUAACAAGGGUGAGAUAAUUUGUUCUUGUGUGCUAAGAUAAGGGUAAACAAAUUUCAUGCUGUGAUGUAAGCCCCUAUCUGCAGAAGUCAGGAAAGAUUCCCUGCCCUGCCGCCGAAUUGCGUGCUUGACAAAUUAUCCUCAGAGGCUUAUUUCUCUGGAGACUUCAUCUAGUGGUCAUGCCCGGGCCUGAGUAUGAAAGGUGGAAGGACCGGCCUGGGUGCAGAGGAGGGGGACUCUUGUGUUCCUGUGCAUCUGGAAGCCCAGAAAUGAAAGUGACCACAGCGCUGCGGUGGCAUGGAGUAGCUCCGUGGGAUCCCUGGGCAUGAUUGAGGAGACAUGCCUGGAAAUGUGAGUUUCUGUUUCACCUCGUGCUUGGCCUUGGGGCAGCAGUCACAUACUCCCUGGCUCUCCCUUUACACCGUCAACGGCAAGUAGGUAAGUGUCCGGUGUUCCUAGUUGCUCAUCACACCUCCAGGGAAGGAAGCCUUCACUGGGCUCCAGGAACUAGUUGGCUGUCUCUCCCAUACCUUCCACUUCUUUUUUUUUUUUUUUUUAAGUUUAUUUUUGAGAGACAGAGCAUGAGCGGGGGAGUGGCAGAGAGAGAGGGAGACACAGAAUCUGAAGCAGGCUCCAGGCUCUGAGCUGUCAGCACAGAGCCCGAUGCAGGGCUUGAACUCAUAGACCGCGAGAUCAUGACCCGAGCCGAAGUCGGAUGCUCAACCGACUGAGCCACUCAGAUGCCCCUUUGUUUAUUUUUUACAGAGAGAGAGAGAGUGUGCAUGCACGAGUUGGGGACAGGGAGAAUGAGAAUCUUAAGCAGCUUCCAUGCCCGGCAUGGAGCCCAACGCGGGGCUCCAUCUCACGACCGGGAGAUCAUGACCUGAGCCAAAAUCAAGAGUCUGAUGCUUAACUGAUUGAUUGAGCCACCCAAGCACCCCAAUUUUUUCUGUUUGUUUUUGAACCUCUUUAAAAAAUAUCGGGGUGCAACUUAAAAUUUGGAAAGCUUAUUAUUCUAGAGUGUACAUUGUUUAGUGUUUUGCAUAUAUAUUUUUUAUAAUCUUAAUUAUUCUGUAUGUAAUUAUUAUCAUCCCCUUCCCAGAUACUCAGACUGAGGCCCCAGAACCAAGAAAACACAGCUCUUGUGUAGCAAAGCCCAAGCUGAUCCCGGUGUCCUGAGCCAGGGUAUAUUGCUAUCCGUGUGCCUUUGGGCAUUUCCCUGGGCCUGGGCCUGCCUCUCAUUUUCCCCAACUGUAAAACAUGGGGAGAGACAGAUUAAGAUCCCAUCAGCUGCUCCUCAGUGGCGUCAGAGGUGCAGGAGGAGGAGGUGUGCAGUCAGGCAGACUGGGCUUUAAGGCUUGAGCAACAUCACGUGUGAGUCCCCAGUGCACAGCCUUGGGUGUGAGAAAAGUGAAUAGGGAGCCAGUCAGUAGCACAGGGCCUUCAAGAGGCAAUUCAUCCCGGAGCCUAGAAGUCUAACCUGCAACGGAUGAGUGACCAGGCCGGCGUCAUUGACAACGCUGAUCCUAAAGAUGGCGUGGUCAUGUUUGUGGGUUUGCAGAGUAAGGCACACAUACGUGCACACUCAUGCACACACAGAUACAAUCAUCAAGAGAGUGUGUGUAGCCAGAGACACAAGAGACAUAGGAUAAGAUUCUUUUACGUUGCAGAUGAUAUCAUCCAAACUCUCCGGCAUCCCCAUAGAGGACUUUGAAGAUUACGACUGUCUUCUGUUACUCAGUCUUCUCUGCCCAUGCUUUCCAUAUUCUUGGUGCAGACGGGGUCAUCGACUUUCCCAUCUCAUCCCUUGAAUCUGAAUCACCUAUGGGACUUGCUUCGGCCAAUGAGAAAUUAAUAAAUAUGAUGCAAAGAAGAGGCUUGAAAAAUGCCUGCAUAUAAGCUUCCUACAGUUGCCCACAGAUGCACGAGUGAGCCCAGCAAAGCUCAUGAGAAGAACUGCCCAGCUGAGCCCAGCCCGAGUGGCUGCCUCAUAAAAUCAUGAGCGAAAUAAAUGGCUAUUAUUUUAAUCAGCUAA